UAAAUCACAAAAAAUAACAAUCAAAAAUACUUAUAAGUGUUAAACAAUCCAAAAAAUAGGUAAAGUUGAAAAUUAAUUGAAAUUUGCGCCUAAAAAUAAGAUCAUAAGACAAUAGCAUGAUUAUAAGACGACUCCAUGUUGUCUCUACCUAACCAAAUGACCGCUUACUAACUGACAUUACAUAUGUCGUCUUAAGUCUAGUUUUACUUUUUUAAAUUUCGUGGUUAAUGCUUAAUUUUCAUCUAUUUUAGCUUUGAUUAUCUGUUGAUUAAAUUGUCAAAAUCUGUGUACAUUGUUUAAUUGUAACACUUCACUGUGUUAAAAAGUGAUUUUACUUGUUUUAUUUUUGCCAUUGGAUUUUCACAAGUUAGUUUUGGAUGUUCCUCUCAAUUUUGAAUUGACUGUUUUAUUUUGUGAUGCAGAUUCUCAUUCAAUUCAAUGUUAAUCUAAUUGGUCUCGCAUCGUCUAAUCCUUAUUUACUCAUUUACUCUUCUCUUUUCAUUCUCAUAACUCUAAUCUCCAUCAGCUUCUUGAUCAUUUUUUGCUUGUUGGUGUCUUAAUUAUGUGAACUCUACCCUUGACUGAGUUUUUCUCACAGAAACAUCUCAACUUUUCUUCUUCAUCUUACCUUAAGAUUGUCAUGUUUACAAUCAAUGAAAUUAACCUAAUCAAACCAAUCUCAAUUUUUAUAAAAUUGCCAUCUAUCAAGAAAAGACGUACGGUUAAUCCUGAUUGAGCUAUGUUCUGAUAUCUAUCAUUAAAUCGCUAUUUUGACCGUAUUUUACUCGCCAUUUUUGCCUUGAAAAAUUUAACCAAAGAAAUGAAACCUCAGGUUAAAGAUGGAAAUAAUCAUCAACAGUUUCAUCAUUAAGGAUUACAAUUAAUGAUAUUUGAUUGUGGUUCAUGAUAAUUGUAUUAAUUCUUGGAAUUUGAAAGAUUGUAUAACUUGGUUUCUUAAGGAAAAUAAGAAGAAGAAAAUUUAAUGAUAAAAUCACAUUUGAACAUCAUUCAGAUGACACUUUUAUUUAUUUUUUUAGCAGCUUCUAAUCAAUAUGGAAUUAAUCACAUGCAAUUGAUUGAUAUCUCUUUCUUGUGCAUUCAAUUAAUCUAGUAAAAUUGAAAGAAUCCCGAAUAUCGAUGAAACAAGCAAAAGCAACCAGACAACAACCAAACCUUGUUUUCCUUGUGCUAUCUAAAUUGUUUCAAAUGUUGGUCCAGCAAAUUAUUAAAAGGCAGAAAAUUUAUGUAAUGGACACAAACGAAAGGAGAAAGGUCAAAAGGGCCAAAAACACACCAAUUUUAAUGUUAAUCUGUUAUUUUGAAUCAGAGUGAAUCUACAUCUGUAUAGUGUAUUAUCAUCUGUAGCAUGACAAAGGUGGAAGCAAAGAUUCUCACAGUUACCAUGUUGUUUUUGUUUACAGCCAUUUGAGUUGACAAAUUAUCAACUUAGGUUAAACCAAGUUUAACAAUAUAUCAGGUAUCAAAGUGUCAGCGUUUAAAAGACGAAUCAAAGGUCAGUCAGUAUCAGCUAAUUGAUGGCAAAAUCCGUUUCUUGCGCUUAAAAAACACUCAACUUACAAUCUCUUACAAGAGAUUGCUGAAUUGUCUUCAAACUCUGUAACAAUCAGUUAAUGUAGACGAAUUAAAUUGUGAGUAAAGUUUAAAAUCUUAAUUUAUUUGAGACAAA